AUUGAACGCUGGCGGCAGGCCUAACACAUGCAAGUCGAGCGAGCGGCGGACGGGUGAGUAAUGCCUGGGAAUUGCCCAGUCGAGGGGGAUAACAGUUGGAAACGACUGCUAUUACCGCAUACGAUUGGAUUGCCCAGGUUGGAUUAGCUAGUUGGUGAGGUAAUGGCUCACCAAGGCGACGAGACCUAGCUGGUCUGAGCGUAUGAGCAGCAAGACUGGAACUGAGACACGGUCCAGACGCCUACGGGAGGCAGCAGGGGGGAAUAUUGCACAUUGGGGGAAACCCUGAUGCAGCCAGGCCGGGGGUGUGAAGCAGGCCUUGGGGUUGUAAAGCACGUUCAGCGAGGAGGCGUUACUCGCAGAAGAAGCACCGGCUAACUCCGGGCCAGCAGCCGCGGUAAUAC
rnacentral:rRNA from 1 species